UCAAUGAUACAUUUAUGUUGUCCUUGGUUGUUAUAAUUUAGAUAUGGAUGAAGGGUUGAAAAAUUCAUAAAUAAAUACCUUAAAGGAGAAAUUUGAAAAAAAAGGAAGUCAAAGAUGAUUUAAAAACCAUACUUGUGGGCUUGCUAGACUACGUAAUCAGGAAAAGGUGGUUAGGUGCUAGUGGAUGCAUGUGUCAAGAUCAAGGUUCAAAUGUGACUUGGACUUGAUCAAGGUUGUUCAAUAGUGAUUUCAAAAUUGGAGAGAUAAUUAAGGUGAUUGGUGUUUAAA
rnacentral:lncRNA from 1 species